UACGGAGGGUGCAAGCGUUAUCCGGAUUCACUGGGUUUAAAGGGUGCGUAGGUGGGCAGGUAAGUCAGUGGUGAAAUCUCCGGGCUUAACCCGGAAACUGCCGUUGAUACUGUCAGUCUUGAAUGUUGUGGAGGUAAGCGGAAUAUGUCAUGUAGCGGUGAAAUGCUUAGAUAUGACAUAGAACACCGAUAGCGAAGGCAGCUUGCUACACAAUUAUUGACACUGAGGCUCGAAAGCGUGGGGAUCAAACAGG
rnacentral:rRNA from 1 species